rnacentral:pre_miRNA from 1 species
AAGAAGUGUAGCAUUCCGUUAUGUGUUGAAUACUCUGAUAAUUGUUAUGAAAUUUUUAUGUUGGGAAAACGGGGUGUUACACUUUU